rnacentral:rRNA from 1 species
UACGGGGGGGGCAAGCGUUGUUCGGAAUUACUGGGCGUAAAGGGCUCGUAGGCGGCCAACUAAGUCAGACGUGAAAUCCCUCGGCUCAACCGGGGAACUGCGUCUGAUACUGGAUGGCUCGAAUCCGGGAGAGGGAUGCGGAAUUCCAGGUGUAGCGGUGAAAUGCGUAGAUAUCAGGAGGAACACCAAUUGCGAAGGCAGCUCGCUGGGACGUUACUGACGCUGAGACGCGAAAGCGUGGGGAGCAAACAGG